GUACGUUUUCACCUCGGGUGACAGGGAGACAGGUGGUGCAUGGUUGUCGUCAGCUCGUGUCGUGAGAUGUUGGGUUAAGUCCCGCAACGAGCGCAACCCCUACGUUUAGUUGCUAACGCGUGAAGGCGAGCACUCUAGACGAACUGCCGUUGACAAAAACGGAGGAAGUGGGAUGACGUCAAAUCAUCAUGCCCCUUAUGUUCUGGGCUACACACGUGCUACAAUGGCCGGUACAGACGGACGCAAAGCCGCGAGGUGGAGCAAAUCCUAAAAAGCCGGUCUCAGUUCGGAUUGCAGGCUGCAAUUCGCCUGCAUGAAGUCGGAAUCGCUAGUAAUCGCAGGUCAGCAUACUGCGGUGAAUACGUUCCCGGGCCUU
rnacentral:rRNA from 1 species